GCGGAUAUGGUGAAAUUGGUAGACACGCAGGCUUGAGGGGCUUGUGGAGCAAUCCGUGCUGGUUCGAGUCCAGUUAUCCGC
rnacentral:tRNA from 1 species